CGGGGUGUGGCGCAGCUUGGUCAGCGCGCAUGCUUUGGGAGCAUGAGGUCGGCGGUUCAAAUCCGCCCACCCCGACCA
rnacentral:tRNA from 1 species